rnacentral:rRNA from 1 species
GGGCCCGCACAAGCGGUGGAGCAUGUGGUUUAAUUCGAUGAUACGCGAGGAACCUUACCAGGGCUUAAAUGUAAGUUGCAUGGAUCAGAGAUGGUCCUUUCUUCGGACUACUUACAAGGUGCUGCAUGGUUGUCGUCAGCUCGUGCCGUGAGGUGUCAGGUUAAGUCCUAUAACGAGCGCAACCCCUAUCGUUAGUUGCCAACAGGUAAAGCUGGGAACUCUAACGAGACUGCCGGUGCAAACCGUGAGGAAGGUGGGGAUGACGUCAAAUCAUCACGGCCCUUACGUCCUGGGCUACACACGUGCUACAAUGGCCGGUACAGAGAGCAGCCACUACGCGAGUAGGAGCGAAUCUAUAAAACCGGUCUCAGUUCGGAUCGCAGUCUGCAACUCGACUGCGUGAAGCUGGAAUCGCUAGUAAUCGG